rnacentral:rRNA from 1 species
GGCGAUCAGAUACCGCCCUAGUUCUAACCGUAAACGAUGACAACUAGCGAUUAAUCGGCGUUAAUAUAUGACCCGAUUAGCAGCUUCCGGGAAACCAAAGUUUUUCGUUUCCGGGGGAAGUAUGGUUGCAAAGCUGAAACUUAAAGGAAUUGACGGAAGGGCACCACCAGGAGUGGAGCCUGCGGCUUAAUUUGACUCAACACGGGAAAACUCACCCGGCCCGGACACCGUAAGGAUUGACAGACUGAGAGCUCUUUCUUAAUUCGGUGGGUGGUGGUGCAUGGCCGUUCUUAGUUGGUGGAGCGAUUUGUCUGGUUAAUUCCGAUAACGAACGAGACUCUGGCCUAUUAAAUAGACGGUAUAUUUAAAAGUAUAUCGCACUUCUUAGAGGGACAAGCGGCGUCUAGCCGCAUGAAAUAGAGCAAUAACAGGUCUGUGAUGCCCUUAGAUGUCCGGGGCUGCACGCGCGCUACACUGAAAGAAUCAGUGGGCGUGAUACCUAGUUCGGAAGAACUGGGUAACCCAAGUAAAUUCUUUCGUGCUUGGGAUAGGGAAUUGCAAUUAUUUCCCUUAAACGAGGAAUUCCCAGUAAAUGCGGGUCAUAAGCUCGCGUUGAUUACGUCCCUGCCCUUUGUA